CCUACGGGUGGCAGCAGUGGGGAAUAUUGGGCAAUGGGCGCAAGCCUGACCCAGCAACGCCGCGUGAAGGAAGAAGGCUUUCGGGUUGUAAACUUCUUUUAAGAGGGAAGAGCAGAAGACGGUACCUCUUGAAUAAGCCACGGCUAACUACGUGCCAGCAGCCGCGGUAAUACGUAGGUGGCAAGCGUUGUCCGGAUUUACUGGGUGUAAAGGGCGUGCAGCCGGGAAGACAAGUCAGAUGUGAAAUCCCGCGGCUCAACCGCGGAACUGCAUUUGAAACUGUUUUUCUUGAGUACCGGAGAGGUCAGCGGAAUUCCUUGUGUAGCGGUGAAAUGCGUAGAUAUAAGGAAGAACACCAGUGGCGAAGGCGGAUGACUGGACAUUAACUGACGCUGAGGCACGAAGGCCAGGGGAGCGAAAGGGAUUAGAUACCCUGGUAGUC
rnacentral:rRNA from 1 species